rnacentral:rRNA from 1 species
UCGGGCGGCUUUAGCGCGGUGGUCCCACCCGACCCCAUGAACUCAGAAGUGAAACGCCGUAGCGCCGAUGGUAGUGGGGCUCUCCCAUGAGAGUAGGGAACUGCCAGCA